CUGAGCUGGAAACACUGCAGCCAGAACACAGAUGCCCGAGUAGGGGAGAUGAACUUUGCCUGAGUGCCCUGAGCUGCCGGGGCAAGGGCUGAGCUGUCCUGCAGCCUCCUGGCCACCUCUUUGCCCAAAGCCCUCCAUGCCCAUGGCCAUAGCAGCCCCCGGGUGGACGCUCAGAAGGGGUGGGUUUCUCCCUGCUGGCUCUAAUCCUCUCACCCUGAUAUAGCCACUGACCUGGCAGGCAUCUAAAUUUAGCAGGAUGAAUCCUGCCCUGUGCUGGGAGCACUGGUGCCCUUGAGGCAGCAGGAAGGUGGGGAUGGGGCUGUAAGGUCAGGUCCCCCCUGCAAGGCAGAGCCCCCAGGAUGCAGACCACCUCCUGCAGAGGGUCGGCAGGCCUCAGGGGGGCAGAGGGAGGAGAAGGGAGCAGGGAAAGGGCAGGCCGGGGCUACCAGCUCAUAAAUCAGUGCAGCUUGUGGCUGCUCAGCAGCCGGCCUGGCCCGAGAGCCCAAAGCAGAGACGUGGCACGAACCCCCCCCUGCUCCCCACGUCCCUCCCCUGUGUCUCACGGAAGAAGCAUCCGUGCUGGGGGCCAAGGCGGCCGCGGGAGGGCACGGGGACAGCGGUGGCAGCUGGUGCUGUCACUUGCCGAGGGACACCGAGGGCAGGCGGGCAGCGAGCCCGGCCAGGGAUGGUCGGCGGGUCCGAGCCGGGGCUGAGCACUUGCAUUCGUGACACGUGUGAGCGGAUACCCCUGCGAGAAGCCGGCUGGGGCUGCGCACGGACAGACGGACGGACGGACAGACACCCGAGCACGCCGGUGCGGUAACGCUGCCCUCUAACGGCCACCGCUCCCACGGGCUCCCUCCCGCUCGCUCCCCACGGCUGCGGGGGGUGGGCUGGGGGGCUCGGAGCGGCCCCGGUGCACGGCGGGGGCUCACCUGGACAUGAACCAUCCCGCAGUCCUCGCAGGCGUCCGCGCAGCUCCCCGGCAGCACCAGGCACAAAACCCCGCGGCCCCCCCUGUCCGGCUCCGGCCGCCCCGACGGGGACGAGGGUCCCCCCGGGAUGCUCUGUCCCGCCAGCACGGGGCCUUGGCGGACCCCACCGAGGUCUGCGGGGACACCCCACGGCCGCUGCUGCCGGGGCCUCAGCUGCCGUCCCUGCCGGUAAUGCCAGGGCUGGCAGGUCACCAGGAGGAGAUUAGUGAGGUAAGAAAGCUCUCUGCUACGUUCCCAUUGCCACCCGUGCUCCCUGACUGCAGCCUAUCCCAGCCACACCACUACUGUCACACGUGCCACCAUGUCCACAAGCUGGAGUGUCCUCGUGUGAAACCAACACUGGCCAUGGGCUCCCUUGGACACACCAGCACCAACAAACGCCCCCAAUACACCAACACCUGCCCUGAAUAUACAGACACCAACACACAUCCCAAGUACACUGACCCCAACCAACACCCCAAAGACACCCCCUUGCUUUGGCUAAGCAAGGAAGCCAGGCAGGAUGAGAUGCAUGGGAGAGGGGCUGCUUGAAAUCCAGUGGUGCUCCUGGUACCCAUAGCCCCCAAGAAGCCACCCCCCCUGCCCAUCCAAUGGGCUCACCAGAGAUCUGUGCUGGGGCAGAGCAGGGAGCAUGUGCCCCACAGGACACACGGCACAGCUGAGGUUCUCGGGGCAGAAUCAGCCAGCAAAAACAUCAGUUCCAAGCUGUGUGCAACUGCCAAUGGGAGCCAGGGGACAUCGGGCCACCUCACUGUCAUCCCACCCUCACCAGAGCUGGUCUUCACAUGAACAAGCUCAGAGGGCAACAGAAGUGCCCUGGUCAGAUUUCCCUCUUGGAGACUUGGUGCCAAGGAGAGAAGAGCUGCUGGGUGGGGUAACACCUGCUGCUGUUUUCAGCCAGAGUCUCCUGCUCAGCUACGGGGACUUGCUCCUGUGGACUUCAAAAGAGCAGCUCCUGCUUCCCAUCCUGGAGAGGCUCCCCAGCUUCAGAAGACGUUUCCCAGCUUCAGGAAGCCCAGAAGAAGCUUUCUGUCCAUGAAUACGAGGUUUGGAUCAGACCCUGGGAAGAGGGAAGAGCUUAGGCAAGUGCCUCUGGACUCCUGCUGAUCUUGGCUUUCAGGUUAAAAGGAUGGAAAUGUAGGAGUCAUGAGGACCAAGACUGGGAAACCGGAGAUGGAAAUGAUGUUUGAGGAUUGAUUCCACGCGGGCAAUUAAUUGCUGAGCUACAAAUGCCUUUAAAGGUGAAAAGAGCCCCGGGUGAGAUGGAGAGAGGCUGGGGAUGUGCUGGAUGGGAAGCAGCACCUCGGCUACACCAAGUCAAGUCUCCUCAAACUGUUUUUAGGUCAGUAACAACAGCUGUACAUCCCGUCAGCAAAGCCAAAACAGCCUCAGGAGCAGGAGCUGCUGCUCAGACAUCGAGGAAAAGGCACCACAUGUCGCAGGAAGCAGCGUCCCGUGGCCACGUGGCUUCUGGUGCUGAAAGCAGCAGAGUUCUACAGGAGUGGGGAUUUUCAUUUCCUGCCUGCCUUUCUGGAAGGGAUCCAUGCAGGCAUGGCAGCAGCCUGGCAGUCCUGACUGUGCUCCCCAGCUCCCGUGUGACCUUGGCCAUGCUGGUCUUUUGAAACCAAUGAGUGGAAGCAGCACCUCUGAACCUCCACGGUGUGACCACCACGUUGGCUUUGUCAGCACUGCCAUGAGCUCUGCCCAUGGCACAAUGUGCUGCACAGCCUGGAAACAUCAAAGUCACCAGCAGGGAACUCACCUCUGGAACACCAAGCCCCCCUCUGCACCUAUGCCAGUGAGACCCUGUUGAUCAUCUGGGGCCCAGAUCCAUCCCAUUUCCAAAGCCACAGGGAAUAUCUGCCCAAUUUCAAUCAGGACUGCCCCAUCCUGCCUGCCUGCAUCCCAGUCUGUAUCCCUGCCUGCAUCCCUGCCUGUAUCCCUGCCUGCACCCCUCCUGCAUUCCUGCCUGUAUCCCUGCCUGCAUCCCUGCCUAUAUCCCUGCCUGCACCCCUGCCUGUAUCCCUGCCUGCACCCCUGCCUGUAUCCCUGCCUGCACCCCUGCCUGUACCCCUGCCUGUAUCCCUGCCUGCACCCCUGCCUGUAUCCCUGCCUGUACCCCUGCCUGCACCCUGCCUGCAUCCCUGCCUGCAUCCCUGCCGCCGGGGACCGGCUGCCUCCCCUCCCGCAGCUCUGCAGCGCCGCGGAACUUGUUUUCCUCAUGAACCGGACACAGCCCGAAGGCACAAGGAGGAGCAGCCUCGGGGCCGUUUCUCCCCCGCUGCUUCCCGGCUGCCGCAGCACUGAUCCCCCCGGCACGGCUGCCCCCCCCAGCAUUCCCCUCGCAGCCGGCGCUGGGGUGAGUUCGGUGGCUCUUUACCGGCGGUCUGGGCAGCCCCUCUGCAGGGGGACAGUCCUGUUACCCCAAAAAAGCCUUCUGGGGUGAUAGGAGGCUGCUCCAGACCUGCCGCGGGGUGUGACCCCUUGCCAAGGGUGGGUGGUGUCACCAGGGUCCUCCUGCCUCUCCCACUGCUGCCCUGUUAUUGUCACUGCUCUUGGUGGCCAGGCUGCAGCAGGGCCACGGCCUCGCUGGUGCCCGGCCCCGUGGGCGCUUCUGCAAACCUGCCACCAGGCAUCCCGACCCUGGGAGGUGGUACCCACACCCCAGGGACAUCCCCUCCUGGGGAGCAUCCCCAGGGCAGGAGCAUCCCCAGCCUGGGACCUCUUCAUCCCAGGGGUGUCCCCAUCCCAUGAGCAUCCUCAUCACAGAAGCAUCCCCAUCCCAGGACCAUUCCCAUCCCAGGAGCAUCUUCAUCUAGGAGCAUUCUCACUGCAGGAGCAUCCCCAUCCUGGGACCAUCCCCAUCCUGGGACCAUCCCCAUCUGGGACUAUCCCCAUCCCAGGACCAUGUCCAUCCCAGAAGCAUCCUCAUCCAGGAGCAUCCUCAUCCAGGACCAUCCCCAUCACGGGGCCACCCCCACGUCCUCCAAGGUCACACCUGUAGCAGCGUGGGGCCCAGGCUGUGGGGACAGCGGUGCCCCACCAAGGCGGACAUCCCACCGGUAAUCCCACUCGGAUGCUCGCCGCACCGCUAACACCGUAGGCUGCUUGCCCCACCGACAGCCCCACCGUUAGAUCUGAAAGGAUCCUCGCCCCUCCGCUGACCGGGAUGCUCUCCCCAUUGCCAACCCACCGGUACCCCCGGGGCCGGUGCCAUCGCCGCUCACCUUCAGGUCGGGGGGCUUGGUGCGUGGCGGGGGGACCGCGCCCGCCUCGGGGGCCGCCGCCUCCCCGGGCUUGGCCUCCAUAGCGGCGGGACCGGGCGGUUCCCCCGCGGUUCCGGGGUCCUCCUCGGACUGCUGCUGCAGCUCGUCCGACCGGCAC